rnacentral:lncRNA from 1 species
GGGCACAUUGUCUUCAAAGCUUGUCUUCUAGCUGGAAGGUUCCAGAGUAGUUAUAGAUGUUUCUAACACUCUGGUUGGAGCUUUCUGGCUCUGUUCCAGUUCUCAGAGAAGUCUGAAUAAAUAAAUAAAAAAAAAAAAAAAAAAAAAAAAAAAAAAAAAAAAAAAAAAAAAAAACAGAGCUUGUUUGAAAAAGACGUUCAAUGGCAGAGAAGAACCCAUCUAUAAAGAAACCAUGUCCUGCGCACCACCACCACCCUAGCGUGCAAUAGCAACUGACUUGGCUUUAAUCAUGAUUUUCCUACUUAUUUUUAGCACAAAGGAUCUUUGCAUCCAGAUUUGGUAGUUCAGCAGGCACACACAGAAAAGCUUUCUCCAGUCUUAGUCCAGAAUAUUGUGGGGCCUUACAAGUACUUUUAGCUUCUAUUUUUAGCCCAGGAAUCUUAGUCAUAUACCAAGAUCAAGUAAGACAAUGACCCAAAGCCAGUUUUAUACCCAAACUAUACCAGUGUUUAGCCAUAAUUUUCCCCUUUGCUUACAGGAAAGUAUUAGAACUAUGUUCAAACAAACUUUCAGAUCAAAAGAUUUCUUUGUGGCAGAUUUGAAUUUAAGAAUAGGCUCUGCUAUUUACUAACUGUAGGAUUUGUUUUAAAAAGAAAAAGAAAGAAAGAAAGGAAG